UAGGCCUAACACAUGCAAGUCGAACGGCAGCACAGAGGAGCUUGCUCCUUGGGUGGCGAGUGGCGGACGGGUGAGGAAUACAUCGGAAUCUACUCUGUCGUGGGGGAUAACGUAGGGAAACUUACGCUAAUACCGCAUACGACCUACGGGUGAAAGCAGGGGAUCUUCGGACCUUGCGCGAUUGAAUGAGCCGAUGUCGGAUUAGCUAGUUGGCGGGGUAAAGGCCCACCAAGGCGACGAUCCGUAGCUGGUCUGAGAGGAUGAUCAGCCACACUGGAACUGAGACACGGUCCAGACUCCUACGGGAGGCAGCAGUGGGGAAUAUUGGACAAUGGGCGCAAGCCUGAUCCAGCCAUACCGCGUGGGUGAAGAAGGCCUUCGGGUUGUAAAGCCCUUUUGUUGGGAAAGAAAUCCAUCUGGUUAAUACCCGGAUGGGAUGACGGUACCCAAAGAAUAAGCACCGGCUAACUUCGUGCCAGCAGCCGCGGUAAUACGAAGGGUGCAAGCGUUACUCGGAAUUACUGGGCGUAAAGCGUGCGUAGGUGGUCGUUUAAGUCCGUUGUGAAAGCCCUGGGCUCAACCUGGGAACUGCAGUGGAUACUGGGCGACUAGAAUGUGGUAGAGGGUAGCGGAAUUCCUGGUGUAGCAGUGAAAUGCGUAGAGAUCAGGAGGAACAUCCAUGGCGAAGGCAGCUACCUGGACCAACAUUGACACUGAGGCACGAAAGCG
rnacentral:rRNA from 1 species